CAUCAAUCUCUAUCUAGUGGAAGUUGAGGUUAACCUCACGGGAGUUUAGGUCCUCGACCUCGCCGACUCCACAACCUCCUCAUCUCUCUUCGACCUCUCUUUGUGGGAGAUCAAGAUAAAGGAGAUGGCUGCAGGCAGAGUUUUUGUUCCUAACAAGAUGUUGGUCUCCUCUCCCAAGUUUCCAAUAGGUUGUUUUCCUCUCCUAAGUUCCCAACAAACAAGAAGGCGUGCUCUCCUGUCCCAGGCCAAAAUGUGUGCUCUCUCUGAUCCUCUCCACUCCACGCCACACCGUCUCUCUCAUAUUACAAAUUACUUGGAAUUUGAAGCCAUGAAAUGAUUGCAAGAAGAAACAAAGAAAAUCAGAAGGAUGCUUGGGUAUUUCAAGGAGAUCGACUCUCCUCCACCUGUGAAUAAAGGGCAACGGAGUUGAUCCCCUGCAGACGGUGGCAGGCCGGGGACGGGCGGCGGCAGGAGUUUGGCGGCGAGAUUCUGUCGGUGGUGGUCGGCGGCGGGAUUCCGGCGGUGGUGGCCGGCGGCGGGAUUCCGGCGGUGGUGGCCGGCGGCGAGAUUCCAGCGAUGGUGGUUGGAUAGAUAUGGACAUGUGACAUAGUAUGCUUGCCUUAGAAGGAGUGGCAUUGUGUGUAAUUUUGAUAUUUUUUAAUGAUA